UACGGGGGGGGCAAGCGUUGUUCGGAGUUACUGGGCGUAAAGGGCUCGUAGGCGGCCAACUAAGUCGGAUGUGAAAUCCCCAGGCUCAACCUGGGAACUGCAUCCGAUACUGGAUGGCUUGAAUUCGGGAGAGGGAUGCAGAAUUCCAGGUGUAGCGGUGAAAUGCGUAGAUAUCUGGAGGAAUACCGGUGGCGAAGGCGGCAUCCUGGACCGACAUUGACGCUGAUGAGCGAAAGCUAGGGGAGCAAACGGG
rnacentral:rRNA from 1 species